ensembl:snRNA U1 U1 spliceosomal RNA
AUACUUACCUGGCAGGGAACAUAACAUGAUUAUGAAGGUUUUCUCAGAGUGAGGUGCAUCCAUGGCAUUCUGGGUGUGCUGAUCCGUGAAAGUUCCUCAAAUGUGGGAAACUCGGCCUCAUAAUUUGUAAUAAUGGCAGACUGUGUGCAUGCUCUCCCC